AUACGGAGGGUGCGAGCGUUGUUCGGAAUUACUGGGCGUAAAGGGCGCGUAGGCGGCGAUGUAAGUCAAAUGUGAAAGUCCUCGGCUUAACCGGGGAAGUGCAUCUGAAACUGCAUUGCUUGAGUAUGGGAGAGGAAAGUGGAAUUCCCGGUGUAGAGGUGAAAUUCGUAGAGAUCGGGAGGAAUACCGGUGGCGAAGGCGACUUUCUGGACCAAUACUGACGCUGAGGCGCGAAAGCGUGGGGAGCAAACAGGAUUAGAAACCCUAGUAGUCC
rnacentral:rRNA from 1 species